rnacentral:rRNA from 1 species
AUUGAACGCUGGCGGCAUGCCUUACACAUGCAAGUCGAACGGCAGCACGGGUGCUUGCACCUGGUGGCGAGUGGCGAACGGGUGAGUAAUACAUCGGAACGUACCUUAUCGUGGGGGAUAACGCAGCGAAAGCUGUGCUAAUACCGCAUACGCCCUGAGGGGGAAAGCGGGGAUCGCAAGACCUCGCGCGAUUAGAGCGGCCGAUGCCUGAUUAGCUAGUUGGUGGGGUAAAAGCCCACCAAGGCGACGAUCAGUAGCUGGUCUGAGAGGACGAUCAGCCAAACUGGGACUGAGACACGGCCCAGACUCCUACGGGAGGCAGCAGUGGGGAAUUUUGGACAAUGGGGGCAACCCUGAUCCAGCAAUGCCGCGUGAGUGAAGAAGGCCUUCGGGUUGUAAAGCUCUUUUGUCAGGGAAGAAACACCGGCUCCAACACAGUCCGGGAAUGACGGUACCUGAAGAAUAAGCACCGGCUAACUACGUGCCAGCAGCCGCGGUAA